rnacentral:rRNA from 1 species
AGCGGCGGACGGGUGAGUAACGCGUGGGUAACCUGCCCUAUACACAUGGAUAACAUACUGAAAAGUUUACUAAUACAUGAUAAUAUAUAUUUGCGGCAUCGCAGAUAUAUCAAAGUGUUAGCGGUAUAGGAUGGACCCGCGUCUGAUUAGCUAGUUGGUGAGAUAACUGCCCACCAAGGCGACGAUCAGUAGCCGACCUGAGAGGGUGAUCGGCCACAUUGGAACUGAGACACGGUCCAAACUCCUACGGGAGGCAGCAGUGGGGAAUAUUGCACAAUGGGCGAAAGCCUGAUGCAGCAACGCCGCGUGAACGAUGAAGGUCUUCGGAUCGUAAAGUUCUGUUGCAGGGGAAGAUAAUGACGGUACCCUGUGAGGAAGCCCCGGCUAACUACGUGCCAGCAGCCGCGGUAAUACGUAGGGGGCUAGCGUUAUCCGGAUUUACUGGGCGUAAAGGGUGCGUAGGUGGUCCUUCAAGUCGGUGGUUAAAGGCUACGGCUCAACCGUAGUAAGCCGCCGAAACUGGAGGACUUGAGUGCAGGAGAGGAAAGUGGAAUUCCCAGUGUAGCGGUGAAAUGCGUAGAUAUUGGGAGGAACACCAGUAGCGAAGGCGGCUUUCUGGACUGCAACUGACACUGAGGCACGAAAGCGUGGGUAGCAAACAGG